rnacentral:lncRNA from 1 species
CGGCUGUUGAGCUCCUUCUGUGUUCCAGUGGAACAUCUGUGUUUUACUGUGCAAAUGAGAAUGGCCAGGAUGUUACAUACAGCUGGACUGUCAGUAACAGCAUCCUGGGAGAACGGACUGUAUUCAGUAACAGUUGUAAAUAUAUAUCUUUGAAGAACAUGUCUGGAACUGUCCGCUGCUCUGUGGAGAAGAAGGGCUGCAGUGCACAGAGUGAACCUCAGAACUUUGACUGCACAGAUGAGAAUUCUGCACAAUCCAAUUCCUCACCGGAGGCCACCAAUCACGAGCUAUUUUUUUAUAGUGAAGUCAGACUCUCACGAUGACGCCUGUGAGCGUUUAAUUGGGCAAAAUACAUGUUUGCCUGAAAAAAAUGAUUCACAUGUUUUAUGAUUUUAUUGAGAAAAAGAUUAUUAAUUUUUAGAAUGACAUGUAUUUGUGAUUCUGUGUAUAUAUUCCUCAUUUCAGAAGAGAUCCUUUAGCUUAACACAAAAUCAUAAACUAAGUACGAGGGAACUACAGACACACACACAUUUUCAGAACCGCUUGUCCCAUACGGGGUCACGGGGAACCAGAGCCUACCUGGUAACACAGGGCGUAAGGCCGGAGGGGGAGGAGACACACCCAGGACGGGACGCCAGUCCAUCGCAAGGCAUCCCAAGCGUGAUUCGAACCCCAGACCCACCGGAGAGGAGGACUGUGGUCCAACCCACUGUGCCACUGCGCCAC